GGUACUCUGCUCAGUGUGGGGACUCUAGGAGUGACAUAGACACAGAUGUUUCUUCCCCACAAAGCUUAUAACCCAGAUGAAAGGACAGACAUAUGAGUUUUAACUAACUUAAUUCUUUAUACAAUAAAGAGGAGUACUAAGUGCAUAGAUCUUUUAAGGGCCCAGGAAAAUAUUUAAGACAACUACAACAAAUUAUUGACAACACAAAAUUUUUAAAAGCUAGCCAAUACUCAAUUCCGGGGAGUGAUAGACACAUUUGUAAUCCUGCAUCAGAAAGUACAAAGCGGAGUGGUUUCCCAACAGCCAAACGUGGGGUGAGGAGGAGACUGAGAAAGGCUUCCCACAGGGGCUACUGCAUGAGCUGGGUCUUGAAGGAGGAGUAGACCUUCCCAGGGAUGGAGACAGGGUGGAUCCCUAGGAAAGGAAACAAGCCAGCAAAAGAAGAGUUUCUAGAGAAAGGAGAGGAUUGAUGGGUUCACUGGUGCUCACUGGAAACUAUCAAAUUUGUAAUGUGAGCAUCCCAACAUGCAGAGGAACCAGAAGUUCAAUAUUUGAGCUGAUUAAGGAUCAAUCAGCCAGUUCCCUGGGCAGGGGAGAGACUCUGCUUCCACAUUAUCAGGGACUCAGAGAAGCUGGAUAAACGUCUCUGCUUUCUUUCCUCUGGUCCAUCCUGCUCCAGUAUCAGUGCACCCAGCACUAUUUCUCAAAACACAUCUG
rnacentral:lncRNA from 1 species